UACGUAGGCGGAAAUCUAAGUCAGUGGUGAAAUCCCGCAGCGCAACUGUGGAACUGUCAUUGAUACUGGUUUUCUUGAAUAUAGUUGAGGUAGGCGGAAUGUGUAAUGUAGCGGUGAAAUGCUUAGAUAUUACACAGAACACCGAUUGCGAAGGCAGCUUACUAAACUAUGAUUGACGCUGAGGUACGAAAGCGUGGGGAGCGAACAGGAUUAGAUACCCUGGUAGUCC
rnacentral:rRNA from 1 species